rnacentral:rRNA from 1 species
AUUGAACGCUGGCGGCAUGCCUUACACAUGCAAGUCGAACGGCAGCACGGGAGCAAUCCUGGUGGCGAGUGGCGAACGGGUGAGUAAUGUAUCGGAACGUACCUUUCAGUGGGGGAUAACGUAGCGAAAGUUACGCUAAUACCGCAUAUUCUGUGAGCAGGAAAGCAGGGGAUCGCAAGACCUUGCGCUGAUUGAGCGGCCGAUAUCAGAUUAGCUAGUUGGUGAGGUAAAGGCUCACCAAGGCGACGAUCUGUAGCGGGUCUGAGAGGAUGAUCCGCCACACUGGAACUGAGACACGGUCCAGACUCCUCCGGGAGGCAGCAGUGGGGAAUUUUGGACAAUGGGCGCAAGCCUGAUCCAGCCAUGCCGCGUGAGUGAAGAAGGCCUCGGUUGUAAGU